CGAGUAAAGUGGCAGACGGGUGAGUAACACGUGAACAACCUACCCUUGAGUGUGGGAUAACACCGCGAAAGCGGUGCUAAUACCGCAUGACAUCUUUGAGUCGCAUGGCUUGGAGAUCAAAGUCGGAAGGCGCUUGAGGAGGGGUUCGCGGCUGAUUAGCUAGUUGGUGAGGUAACGGCCCACCAAGGCGACGAUCAGUAGCCGGCCUGAGAGGGCGAACGGCCACACUGGAACUGAGACACGGUCCAGACUCCUACGGGAGGCAGCAGUGGGGAAUUUUGCGCAAUGGGCGAAAGCCUGACGCAGCAACGCCGCGUGGAGGAUGAAGGCCUUCGGGUCGUAAACUCCUGUCAGUGGGGACGAAAGCCCCGAAAGGGGAUUGACUGUACCCGCUGAGGAAGCCACGGCUAACUCCGUGCCAGCAGCCGCGGUAAUACGGAGGUGGCAAGCGUUGUUCGGAAUUACUGGGCGUAAAGGGCGCGUAGGCGGCUUGACAAGUCAGAUGUGAAAGCCCCGGGCUUAACCCGGGAAUUGCAUCUGAAACUGUUGAGCUUGAGUUCUGGAGGGGGUAGUGGAAUUCCCAGUGUAGCGGUGAAAUGCGUAGAUAUUGGGAGGAACACCUGCGGCGAAGGCGGCUACCUGGACAGGAACUGACGCUGAGGCGCGAAAGCUAGGGGAGCGAACGGGAUUAGAUACCCCGGUAGUCCUAGCU
rnacentral:rRNA from 1 species